CUUCUUUUUGAAAUUUGAAAAGAAUUAAGGGGGGGAAAGGGUGCUUUCAAAUCAAAACACCUGGAGAUGACUCAUUGUUCGUUGCUGUUCGGGAAAACUGCCGCUGCCAGCAUCAACAGGAAUUUGAAUAAGCACAACAGCUACAUCUGCUUCCAAAAUCAUUGUCGUGUUUCCACCAUGGUGACAGGGAAGCAGCAGGCACGAGACCAGCUCUCACGACCAUAUAUCUGAACGGAGCGAGGACAUAUUAUCAGCUCAGCUAGGAUCAUCACCCAGCAGUGCAAAGACACCAGCUGUAAAAGGCGCGCUCCAGCGACCAUCACACCUUUUGCCGCAACUUCCCUCCGUCAACCCACAGCCAAGCCUUUUCCACACGUACAUACAAUGUCACCUGCAAAUGGGUCACCAAACCCCUGACCCAGUCCCAGCAGCAGCCAGGCCUGCUCCACAUGACAGCCUGGCAUCCAGUCAGCCCGGCUUGGCAGUCGCAUCUGGCACCGGCUUCCUGAACAGCGAGCAGGCGGGGGAACAAAUAGCAGAUGGCUUUCCCUAUCUCCACAACAAUUUAAUCACAGCGGUCUUGACGACACUGACGUGCUCCAUGCCAUCUACAGCGCCUCACCAGCCACGCUGCAAGGUGAGCAAGCUGCUCUUUUCCAAGGGCAGCCCUUGCAACUGGCCAGGCUCAAGAAGUGUUUUGAGAGUCUGUAGCCAGGACACAAGCUAGAUUUAUUCAACUUAUUCACAGAAUCAUAGAAUCACCAGGUUGGAAAAGACCUCUUGGAUCAUCGAGUCCAACCAUUCUUAUCUGCCUUUAAACCAUGUCCCUGAGCACGCCCAUCUACCCGUCUUUUAAAUACCUCUAGGGAUGGUGACUCCACCACCUCCCUGAGCAGCCUCUGCCAGUGCCCAAUGACCCUUUCUGUGAAAAAUUGCUUCCUGAUAUCCAGUCUGAACCUCCUCUGGUGCAGCUUUAGGGCAUUCCCCUUGUCCUGUCCUCUGUCACCUGGGAGAAGAGCCCAGCUCCCUCCUCUCUACAACCUUCUCUCAGGUAGUUGUAGAGAGAAAUAAGGUCUCCCCUCAGCCUCCCCUUCUCGAAGCUAAAACAACACUUAUUCAAUGUGUCCCUGCCCAUGGCAGGGGGGGGAUGGAACUAGAUAAUCUUUAAGGUCCCUUCCAACCCGAAUUAUUUUAUGAUUCUAUGAACUUGAACUUCAAAAUGAGAACAGAGCGAGACAGAUCUGACAAGUUCAGGAAAAACGAAAAGCACUUUAGGAGAGUUGUGACACUGGAAGUCAGGAGCAUGGCAUGAGUGCCCAGCGCUGCACCAGGCUCCCCUGCAAAUGUAGGCAAGCUGACCUUACAGCUUGGCAAAUGCCUCAAACAGGGUUUCCCAAAAUAGAAACAAGCAAAAUUAUUUGCUACUUUGGAAAUGUAUGACUUUGUUUUCUUUUUCUAUGAACUGCAAAACCAGAUAAACGUGUCUUCACACUGUCCAAGGAAAUGUGACAGCUAUGUUAACAGGAGGCCCUCAGAUACUGAGAUGUUACCAGAAAGAGAUUUCAUUGACACAUGGACAUAAUCUCCGCUGCUGUCGUUAGUGCUGAUCUGUGUUUGUGUAACAUAACUAAAAAGCCAGUCUCCUCUGCAUUAAAGGGUACAUGGAGAUCUCUUUUUUACAUCUGAUAUGUGGACAAAUCCAAAGGAAGAGAGAGCUGGUACUCCUGGGCAAAGGUGGCAAUUGUUCUCCUAGUAAAGAACAGAAGCUAUGAAAUGUGGCGUGUUUUACCAGGCUCACUUUGAAUUAGGAAACAAACUCAAUAACGUUUAAAUUGGUCAAGUUUUGGGCUCCUUCGCAAGACAAAACUAAAAAGCCCAGAGCACCACAGUUAAUUUUAUUUUCCCUGAUGGGUAGAGCAAACAUCAGUUCUUUAGGUUACACUACAAACAAGGGUUCUUUAACGUAUCUAGGAACUUGUACACAUGGGUGCAGCAGCAGCAGUUAAACAAACCAGCCAGAAAUAUUUCCAAACACAACAGGGGAGCAGGUUGA